GAGGAAAAGAAACCAACAGGGAUUGCCCCAGUAACGGCGAGUGAAGCGGCAACAGCUCAAAUUUGAAAUCUGGCCCCCAGGGCCCGAGUUGUAAUUUGCAGAGGAUGCUUUUGGCGCGGUGCCUUCCGAGUUCCCUGGAACGGGACGCCAUAGAGGGUGAGAGCCCCGUCUGGUCGGACGCCUAGCCUGUGUAAAGCUCCUUCGACGAGUCGAGUAGUUUGGGAAUGCUGCUCUAAAUGGGAGGUAUAUGUCUUCUAAAGCUAAAUACCGGCCAGAGACCGAUAGCGCACAAGUAGAGUGAUCGAAAGAUGAAAAGCACUUUGAAAAGAGGGUUAAAUAGUACGUGAAAUUGUUGAAAGGGAAGCGCUUGUGACCAGACUUGGGCCCGGUGGAUCAUCCAGCGUUCUCGCUGGUGCACUCCGCCGGGUUCAGGCCAGCAUCAGUUCGCCGCGGGGGAAAAAGGCUUCGGGAACGUGGCUCCUACGGGAGUGUUAUAGCCCGUUGCAUAAUACCCUGGGGCGGACUGAGGUUCGCGCUCCGCAAGGAUGCUGGCGUAAUGGUCAUCAGCGACCCGUCUUAAC
rnacentral:rRNA from 1 species